AGGUCUUUCUUGUCGUUGUUGUGUUGCACUGUUUUCUGCUAUGAUUAUGAACAAGCGAGCUGAAGUUAAUGCAAGGCUCUGUUGACUGACUUCUUCUAUUGGCUGGUGAAGCUGAAGUUCGGAAAAACCCAGUGCUGCAGAAGAAGCAUGGGACCCGCUCACCCAAAAUCCUCCCUACUCACAGCUGCUGUGCACUAUGUCUUGGACAAAGCGACUAGAAUACAUUAGAGCUACUUCCUGGACUGCCGUAUCGGAACUUGCACGAAGCGUGGUGACCUUCUGUGCAGACCUUUUUACUCAAAGAGCAACCCCGCCAUACCAUGACACCUCAAUUCAUCGGCUAUGUGAUGGACUACAUUUAGCGUGGGUUAUUGGGAUUUCAUAAUAUUAAAUGCUUCAUUAUUAGUACUAUACAUCUUUUUGGGGACCUAAAUAAUGGCAGUUAUGUGCACUACAAUGUCCCCAG